rnacentral:lncRNA from 1 species
UAAACUCAUAUGAUUUGGUGAUACUUUUGCAGAAACUGCAUGGUGAUAUAGAAUCUUUAGGUGUACAUGAAUCAUAAAGUAGGAAACUUCUCUUGUGGUGGCUCUACAUGAAAGUUCUUCCCCUGUUUCAACAAAGACCUAAUUCAAAAUCUUGAAAACCCCACAAAAUUGUAAAACAAUUGAAGGAAAAUAAAAAUAUCAAGUAUGCUAAAAAAAAGAGGAAUUAAACAUGUGAAUUUCAAAAACAUGUGUACUUGUUAAAAUAUGGACUUUAUGAGGUUGUAACACUUUGGGUUGGGAUGACAGUGAUCUGCAACAAAGAAAAAAAAAUUAAAGUCCCAAACAUGACAUGAUAUCACGUCAAAUAGGAAAUUAUAGAAAGGUACUCGUAUACACAAUAAAAUGGUCCUAUGGGUUAAAUUUUUUUCGAUUGAAAAUCUAACUAUUUCAAAAUUUGUGGAAAAAGUCAUCUACAUCCAGUUUCGUUAUGGAUUUUGGUCCCCGUUAAACUUGAAAAUGACUAAUGUGCCCUUUACAUUAUUACUUUUCUUAUUCUUUUUAUUUGUUUGAAAUAAAAAUGCUAUUAUUAAAUAAAAUGGAUCUUAUAUUCCUUACACCCACAAAUAACACACCAAAAGAAAUAUGAUUUUGAUCAAUAUAGUAAAAUAGUAUUUAAGACCAAAAAAAAUAAAUCGUCUAUUGCCUAAUGGUUUAUUUUAAAAUAUAUCAAAUUUUAUAUGCUAAUGUUAUAAACAAUUAUUAAGUUAGGAUAUUAAAAUGAUAAUGAUAUGAACUAAAAAAAUCAAAAUAUUAAACGAUCUUUUGAAAUUUAUAUAUAAAUCAAAGUUUAUAUAUAAAUAAAAUGGUAUAAAUGAAAAUGUUAGCACCAUGUUAAGCUGUUUGCUUCAUUUUAAUUUUAAAGUAUAAAAAUAUAACUAAAAACAAUUAAAGAUUGUAUUAAUCAAAUAGCCAACAUAUUAAAUCAGUCUUUUCGUUCAUAAAGAAUUUAUAUCGUGUAGAUAGAUUUACCCUUGCAGAAAUAGAACUAGUUUCAGUAAAUCAUGGGAAGCGUACCUUAAACUGCUGACAUGGAUCCUUCAACACAAGGUUUUUGUGUUGACAAAGAGAAAUGUAAACCUGAUAAAGUUUUUACGUGCUUUGGCAUGCUAGGCUCUAUUGUCCCUCGUAAGCUUAUCCAUAUGUGUAGAACCUCAACGAAAGUUGUUUCUACUAAAUUUUAACCACAAGAAGCAAAACAAAUAAAAACAGAAAAAAAUAUAAUUAUCAUAAAACAAAAUUACGAAGAGAAAAAGGAAUUAACCUUAGUUCUCACUUCAUAUACUUUUCCUCCAUCAUGUAUAACAAAGCCAGAAAAAAUAGAGACAACCCUUAUGUCAGUUUGAAAUGAUAUGUAGAAACAAACAACAAAGAUGAGAAGCACAAAUGCAAGAUGAACUAUUAAAAGAACGUCACUGAUAGCGAAAUAUUGUUAUUGAUUUGCAUUAGUGUUCUCAACACCAAUUCCCACCUUCAUAUGAAUCAUGUCCUGAAACCUAGAACACCUGAUGCAUUCAAAAUACUUCAAAGGCUCUAGCACAUUGCAAAUAUCAAUAAGAUAAUUGUAAG